GACGGAAGGUGCAAGCGUUGCUCGGAAUUACUGGGCGUAAAGGGCUCGUAGGCGGCCAACUAAGUCAGACGUGAAAUCCCUCGGCUUAACCGGGGAACUGCGUCUGAUACUGGAUGGCUUGAGUUUGGGAGAGGGAUGCGGAAUUCCAGGUGUAGCGGUGAAAUGCGUAGAUAUCUGGAGGAACACCGGUGGCGAAGGCGGCAUCCUGGACCAACACGUGACACUGAGGAGCGAAAGCCAGGGGAGCAAACGGG
rnacentral:rRNA from 1 species